rnacentral:sRNA from 1 species
UACCACCGGUUCCAAAAAAAGCCGCAGU